ensembl:piRNA 21ur-4104 ncRNA
UCUCGCGUUAGCACCAAAAGA